rnacentral:rRNA from 1 species
AUUGAACGCUGGCGGCAUGCUUUACACAUGCAAGUCGAACGGAAGCGCGGGCUUCUGCUUGGCGGCGCGUGGCGAACGGGUGAGUAAUGCAUCGGAACGUGCUCAGUAGUGGGGGAUAGCCCGGCGAGAGACGGAUUAAUACCGCCUACGACCUGAGGGUGAAAGAGGGGGACCGAGAGGGCUUUGUCUAUUUGGGAGGCCGAGGUCGGAUUAGCGAGUUGGUGGGGUAAAGGCUCCCACGGCGACGAGCCGUAGCUGGUCUGCGAGGAGGAACAGCCACACGGGGACUGAGACACGGACCAGACUCCUACGGGGGGCAGCAGUGGGGAAGUUGGGAGAAGGGGGGCAACCCUGAUCCAGCGAGGCAGCGUGCGGGAAGAAGGCCUUCGGGUGGUAAACGGCUUUUGUUCGGGAAGAAAUCCUCUGGGCUAACACAGCGUGGGGGUGACGGUACCGGAAGAAUAAGCACCGGCUAACUACGUG